CUAAAAUCUCUUCUAGCUUAAUGGAAGUAUUGUCCAAAUGCCAAAACCACAACUCCAUAACUAUCCCUCAGGGGAAAUUAUACGUACCUUUAAAUUAUAGGAGACGAAUCCUAUCCUUGGUACACGACUCUAAGAUUGCCGGUCAUCCCGGUAUCCAUAAAACAGAAGCACUACUCGAAAAGCAAUUCUGGUGGCCUUCUUACAAGAAG